UGCGUAGGUGGCAUGGCAAGUUUGAUGUGAAAGCUCAGGGCUUAACCCUGAAAUGGCAUUGAAUACUGCUGGGCUGGAGGUUUGGAGGGGGGACUGGAAUUCUUGGUGUAGCAGUGAAAUGCGUAGAUAUCAAGAGGAACACCAGUGGCGAAGGCGAGUCCCUGGACAACACCUGACACUGAGGCACGAAAGCCGGGGAGCAAACA
rnacentral:rRNA from 1 species